CCUACGGGUGGCAGCAGUGAGGAAUAUUGGUCAAUGGGCGCGAGCCUGAACCAGCCAAGUAGCGUGAAGGAUGACUGCCCUACGGUUUGUAAACUUCUUUUAUAAAGGAAUAAAGUGAGGCACGUGUGGCUGUUUGUAUGUAUUUUAUGAAUAAGGAACGGCUAACUCCGUGCCAGCAGCCGCGGUAAUACGGAGGAUCCGAGCGUUAUCCGGAUUUAUUGGGUUGAAAGGGAGCGUAGAUGGGUUGUUAAGUCAGAUGUGAAAGUUUGGGGCUCAACCGUAAGAUUGCAAUUGAUACUGGAGGCCUUGAGUACAGUUGAGGUAGGCGGAAUUCGUGGUGUAGCGGUGAAAUGCUUAGAUAUCACGAAGAACUCCGAUUGCGAAGGCAGCCUGCUAAACUGCUACUGACAUUGAUGCUCGAAAGUGUGGGUAUCAAACAGGAUUAGAUACCCGGGUAGUC
rnacentral:rRNA from 1 species